rnacentral:rRNA from 1 species
CUACGUGCCAGCAGCCGCGGUAAUACGGAGGAUGCGAGCGUUAUCCGGAUUUAUUGGGUUUAAAGGGUGCGUAGGCGGCCUGUUAAGUCAGCGGUGAAAUCUAGGAGCUUAACUCCUAAAUUGCCAUUGAUACUGGCGGGCUUGAGUGUAGAUGAGGUAGGCGGAAUGCGUGGUGUAGCGGUGGAAUGCAUAGAUAUCACGCAGAACUCCGAUUGCGAAGGCAGCUUACUAAGGUACAACUGACGCUGAAGCACGAAAGCGUGGGUAUCAAACAGGAUUAGAUACCCUGGUAGUCCACGCUGUAAACGAUGAUAACUGGGUGUAUGCGAUAUACAGUAUGCUCCUAAGCGAAAGCGUUAAGUUAUCCACCUGGGGAGUACGCCGGCAACGGUGAAACUCAAAGGAAUUGACGGGGGCCCGCACAAGCGGAGGAACAUGUGGUUUAAUUCGAUGAUACGCGAGGAACCUUACCCGGGAUUGAAUUGCAGAGGAAGGAUUUAGAGAUAAUGACG